rnacentral:lncRNA from 1 species
AACGGUUGGUAUAGAUAUAUGGGUGUUGCGCACGUGAGAGCCAAAAAACCGUAUCAUGCUAAUGUGUGUCUUUUGUGUUUACUAUCUCAUUGUUACGUGAGAAACUUUUGCAUCUGUUUCUACGUAGGGCAUGAACUUGCUUUUCUUUUUGAAUUUUCAUCAGGGAAGGAAGGGAAAGCCCUUCAACCACCUGAAUUGUAUUCAAUAUUGCCUCUAAGGCUUGCAGCCUCGUAAGAUAGGUUCAAGUGAAUCAGAAGUAUAAAAAACACAAGAAAAAAGAGAGAAACAAAUAAAUGCACGCCAACAACACACAUUAUAAGAAGAACAAAGAAGGAAAACAUAACAAUGAGCACCAUAGAAAAGAUAAUCAACAUUGAUCAGCCGAACCAAACCAUGACACUGCACCGUUGACGCAAUCAAAAGGUUUCACGCAUCUAAGACCGCACAACCCUGUGAUACAGGACCUUGCUUUUUUUUCCUUUCCCGUCCUUUGUCAUCUGCCCUC